rnacentral:rRNA from 1 species
CAGGUGCUGCAUGGCUGUCGUCAGCUCGUGUCGUGAGAUGUUGGGUUAAGUCCCGCAACGAGCGCAACCCUUGUCAUUAGUUGCUACAUUCAGUUGGGCACUCUAGCGAGACUGCCGGUAAUAAACCGGAGGAAGGUGGGGAUGACGUCAAAUCAUCAUGCCCCUUAUGACCUGGGCUACACACGUGCUACAAUGGUUGGUACAACGAGUUGCGAGUCGGUGACGGCGAGCUAAUCUCUUAAAGCCAAUCUCAGUUCGGAUUGUAGGCUGCAACUCGCCUACAUGAAGUCGGAAUCGCUAGUAAUCGCGGAUCAGCACGCCGCGGUGAAUACGUUCCCGGGCCUU